GGGAUGUAGCUCAGUGGUAGAGCAACUUCUUUGCAUGCAGAAAAUCCCAGAUUCAAUCCUUGGCAUCUCCA